AGAUCAUUUUGAGGACAAAUUCUUAUUGACCCAUUAUAUCACUCCCAAGCCUCAUAUAAAGACUCUUCCACUUGUUUCUCAAAGUUAGCUAUGACCUUAUUGAGUUU